rnacentral:rRNA from 1 species
AUUGAACGCUGGCGGCAGGCCUAACACAUGCAAGUCGAGCGGAGCGGCGGACGGGUGAGUAAUGCCUAGGCAUCUGCCUGGUAGUGGGGGAUAACGUCCGGCAACGGGCGCUAAUACCGCAUACUAUCAGAUUAGCCGAGUUCGGAGUAGCUCGUGGGUGGGGUAAGGGCCUACCAAGGCGACGACCCGUAACUGGUCUGAGAGGAUGAUCAGUCACACUGGAACUGAGACACGGUCCAGACGCCUACGGGAGGCAGCAGUGGGGAAGAUUGGACAAUGGGCGAAAGCCUGAUCCAGCCAUGCCGCGUGUGUGAAGAAGGUCUUCGGAUUGUAAAGCACUUUAAGUUGGGAGGCGUUACCAACAGAAUAAGCACCGGCUAACUUCGUGCCAGCAGCCGCGGUAAUUC